GGUUAAGCUAUUAAGAGCACACGGAGGAUGCCUAGGCACCAGGAGCCGAAGAAAGGGAUCGUGGCGAACAACGAUAAUGCCUCGGGGAGCCGUAAGCAGGCUUUGAUCCGGGGAUGUCCGAAUGGGGAAACCCCACAUGUGGUAAUUCGCAUGUACCAUGCAGUGAAUACAUAGCUGCAUUGGAGGCAGACGAGGGGAACUGAAACAUCUAAGUACCCUCAGGAAAAGAAAACAAUAGUGAUUCCGUCAGUAGCGGCGAGCGAAAGCGGAACAGCCCAAACCAAGGAGCUUGCUCCUUGGGGUUGUAGGACGUCAAUGUGGGUUAAGCAGAGUAGGCGAACAGGUCUGGAAAGGCCGGCCAGAGUGGGUAAAAGCCCCGUAACUGAAAUUCUGCGAACAUCCUAGACGGAUCCUGAGUACCGCGAGACACGUGAAACCUCGUGGGAAACCGGCAGGACCAUCUGCCAAGGCUAAAUACUCCCUGGUGACCGAUAGUGAAGCAGUACCGUGAGGGAAAGGUGAAAAGAACCGCGGGAGCGGAGUGAAAAAGAACCUGAAACCGUGUGCUUACAAGAAGUCAGAGCCCGUUAAUGGGUGAUGGCGUGCCUUUUGUAGAAUGAACCGGCGAGUUACGUUCCCGUGCGAGGUUAAGGUGAGAAGCCGCAGCCGCAGCGAAAGCGAGUCUGAAUAGGGCGACAUAGUACGUGGACGUAGACCCGAAACCGUGUGAUCUACCCCUGUCCAGGGUGAAGGUGCGGUAACACGCACUGGAGGCCCGAACCCACGAAUGUUGAAAAAUUCGGGGAUGAGGUGGGGGUAGCGGAGAAAUUCCAAUCGAACUCGGAGAUAGCUGGUUCUCCCCGAAAUAGCUUUAGGGCUAGCCUCGGGUUAGCGUUGCGGAGGUAAAGCACUGAUUGGGUGCGGGGCCCGCCAAGGGUUACCAAGUCCAGUCAAACUCUGAAUGCCGCAAACGUGAUGCCCGGGAGUCAGACAGUGAGUGCUAAGAUCCAUUGUCAAGAGGGAAACAGCCCAGAUCAUCAGCUAAGGUCCCCAAGUGUGUGUUAAGUGGGAAAGGAUGUGGAGUUGCACAGACAACCAGGAUGUUGGCUUAGAAGCAGCCACCAUUGAAAGAGUGCGUAAUAGCUCACUGGUCGAGUGACUCUGCGCCGAAAAUGUAACGGGGCUAAACACACCACCGAAGCUAUGAGUCCAAGGUGCAAACUUGUUUGCACCCGGGCAGUAGGGGAGCGUUGUAUGCGGGUUGAAGGUUGAUCGUGAGGACAGCUGGACUGCAUACAAGUGAGAAUGCCGGUAUGAGUAACGAAAAGAUCAGUGAGAAUCUGAUCCGCCGAAAGCCUAAGGGUUCCUGAGGAAGGCUCGUCCGCUCAGGGUAAGUCGGGACCUAAGGCGAGGCCGAAAGGCGUAGUCGAAGGACAACAGGUUGAAAUUCCUGUACCACCGUGAACCGUUAUGAGCAAUGGGGUGACGCAGAAGGAUAGUGACGCGAGCUGAUGGAUGCUCGUCCAAGCAGUAAGGCUGAUGUGUAGGCAAAUCCGCACAUCGUAAGGCUAAGCUGUGAUGGGGAGGGAAAUUUAAGUACCGAAGGUCAUGAGUUCAGGCUGCCAAGAAAAGCCUCUAGCCAGGGAGAAGGUGCCCGUACCGCAAACCGACACAGGUAGGCGAGCAGAGCAUGCUAAGGCGCGCGGAAGAACUCUCGUUAAGGAACUCGGCAAAAUGACCCCGUAACUUCGGGAGAAGGGGUGCCUCGGUAGGGUGAAUAGCCCGAGGGGGCCGCAGUGAAAAGGCCCAAGCGACUGUUUAGCAAAAACACAGGUCUGUGCGAAGCCGCAAGGCGAAGUAUACGGGCUGACGCCUGCCCGGUGCUGGAAGGUUAAGGGGAGCGGUUAGGAGCAAUCCGAAGCUGUGAACCGAAGCCCCAGUAAACGGCGGCCGUAACUAUAACGGUCCUAAGGUAGCGAAAUUCCUUGUCAGGUAAAUUCUGACCCGCACGAAUGGCGUAACGACUUGGGCGCUGUCUCGACGAGAGAUCCGGUGAAAUUUUAAUACCUGUGAAGAUGCAGGUUACCCGCGACAAGACGGAAAGACCCCAUGGAGCUUUACUGCAGCUUGAUAUUGGACUUUGGUACGAUCUGUACAGGAUAGGUGGGAGCCUGAGAAGCCUGAGCGCCAGCUUGGGUGGAGGCGCCGUUGGGAUACCACCCUGAUCGUAUCGGAGUUCUAACCUGGUACCGUGAUCCGGUACGGGGACAGUGUCAGGUGGGCAGUUUGACUGGGGCGGUCGCCUCCUAAAGCGUAACGGAGGCGCCCCAAGGUUCCCUCAGAAUGGUUGGAAAUCAUUCGAAGAGUGCAAAGGCAUAAGGGAGCUUGACUGCGAGACAAACAGGUCGAGCAGGGACGAAAGUCGGGCUUAGUGAUCCGGUGGUACCGAAUGGAAGGGCCAUCGCUCAACGGAUAAAAGCUACCCUGGGGAUAACAGGCUUAUCUCCCCCAAGAGUCCACAUCGACGGGGAGGUUUGGCACCUCGAUGUCGGCUCAUCGCAUCCUGGGGCUGAAGUAGGUCCCAAGGGUUGGGCUGUUCGCCCAUUAAAGCGGUACGCGAGCUGGGUUCAGAACGUCGUGAGACAGUUCGGUCCCUAUCUGUCGCGGGCGCAGGAAAUUUGAGAGGAGCUGUCCUUAGUACGAGAGGACCGGGAUGGACGUACCGCUGGUGUACCAGUUGUUCCGCCAGGAGCACGGCUGGAUAGCCAAGUACGGACGGGAUAAGCGCUGAAAGCAUCUAAGCGUGAAGCCCCCCUCAAGAUGAGAUUUCCCAGUAUGUAAGACCCCUUGUAGACGACGAGGUUGAUAGGUUCGGGGUGGAAGCGCGGCAACGCGUGGAGCUGACGAAUACUAAUCGGUCGAGGGCUUAUCCAC
rfam:Paenibacillus mucilaginosus 3016, complete genome.